CCAGCCCCACGCUGUUCUCGCUGCUCGACAGCUGCAAGACCGGCACGGGCAGCCGCAUGCUGCGCCAGUGGCUGCUGCAUCCAAAGCGCGAACGGGCCGAGGCCCACGCGCGU
rnacentral:SRP_RNA from 1 species